UCUAGACCUAGAACAGUGCCCGGUCAUAGUGGAUGCCUAGAAAAUGGGGAGAGGCAGUGACAAGAUCUGUGAGCCAUUUGAGACACAUCACCGUGGCAGUAAAUUCAGGAAAGCCAGAAGGUCUGGACAUCAAGGCUGUUAUUUUCCAUCUGGAGUCCUGGGAAUUGGGUUGUUAUUGCUGAAGACAAAAGAAUGGGUUUCUACAGUGAUCACCGGGGAGAACAACGGACCAGAGAGAAACCCUAGACGUUUCCAGAAAGAGGAGGGAUCUGAGGCACCAAGAAGUUUACUAACCUCCCCCGAGACUACCGCGCUCAUAAGCGACCGAGCCGGGAUUUGGUCCUAGGAAGACUGGCUUCGGACAUCAGUAUAGUUCCGUAGAUUUCUUUCUGGUUGAACAAGCCUACCCAUAAAAGGUGUUUCUCUA